AAUAUUCGACAAUGGGCGUAAGCCUGAUCCAGCCACGUCGCUUGUGUGAAGCAGGUCUUCGGAUUGUAUAUCACUUUAAGUUGGGACGAAGGGCCGUAAGUUAAUACCUUGCUGGUUUGACGUUACCGACAGAUGAAGCACCGGCUACCUUCGUGCCAGCAGCCGCGGUAAUACGAAGGGUGCAAGCGUUAAUCGGAAUUACUGGGCGUAAAGCGCGCGUAGGUGGUUCGUUAAGUUGGAUGUGAAAGGCCCGGGCUCAACCUGGGAACUGCAUCGAAAACUGGCGAGCUAGAGUACGGUAGAGGGUGGUGGAAUUUCCUGUGUAGCGGUGAAAUGCGUAGAUAUAGGAAGGAACACCAGUGGCGAAGGCGACCACCUGGACUGAUACUGACACUGAGGUGCGAAAGCGUGGGGAGCAAACAGG
rnacentral:rRNA from 1 species